rnacentral:rRNA from 1 species
AGUGAACGCUGGCGGUGUGCGUAACACAUGCAAGUCGAACGGCAGCACAGUAAGAGCUUGCUCUUACGGGUGGCGAGUGGCGGACGGGUGAGGAAUACAUCGGAAUCUACUUUUUCGUGGGGGAUAACGUAGGGAAACUUACGCUAAUACCGCAUACGACCUACGGGUGAAAGCAGGGGAUCUUCGGACCUUGCGCGAUUGAAUGAGCCGAUGUCGGAUUAGCUAGUUGGCGGGGUAAAGGCCCACCAAGGCGACGAUCCGUAGCUGGUCUGAGAGGAUGAUCAGCCACACUGGAACUGAGACACGGUCCAGACUCCUACGGGAGGCAGCAGUGGGGAAUAUUGGACAAUGGGCGCAAGCCUGAUCCAGCCAUACCGCGUGGGUGAAGAAGGCCUUCGGGUUGUAAAGCCCUUUUGUUGGGAAAGAAAAGCAGCAGGUUAAUACCCCGCUGUUCUGACGGUACCCAAAGAAUAAGCACCGGCUAACUUCGUG